rnacentral:rRNA from 1 species
UACGUAGGGGGCAAGCGUUGUCCGGAUUUAUUGGGCGUAAAGAGCGUGUAGGCGGCCAUGCAGGUCAGCUGUGAAAACUCGAGGCUCAACCUCGAGACGUCGGUUGAAACCGUAUGGCUAGAGUCCGGAAGAGGAGAGUGGGAUUCCCGGUGUAGCGGUGAAAUGCGCAGAUAUCGGGAAGAACACCUAUGGCGAAGGCAGCUCUCUGGGACGGUACUGACGCUGAGACGCGAAAGCGUGGGGAGCGAACAGG